AAUCAACGCUGGCGGCGUGCCUAACACAUGCAAGUCGAACGAGAAAGCGGAGCAAUCCAUGAGUACAGUGGCGAACGGGUGAGUAACACGUGACUAACCUACCUUCGAGUGGGGGAUAACCUCGGCAAACCGGGGCUAAUACCGCAUAAGAUCCUAAGGGUGCAAUUCCCAUGGGACCAAAGGGGUAAGAGCGCUUGAAUAGGGGGUCGCGGCUGAUUGGCUAUUUGGUGAGGUAAUGGCUCACCAAGGGGAAGAUCGGUAGCCGGCCUGAGAGGGGGAACGCCAACAUGGGAACUGAAACACGGUCCAGACGCCUACGGAAGGCAGCGGUGGGGAAUUUUGCGAAAUGGGGGAAACCCUAACGAAGCAACGCCGCGUGGAGGAUGAAGCCCUUUGGGGCGUAAACUCCUUUCGAUCGGGACGAUUAUGACGGUACCGGAUGAAGAAGCACCGGCUAACUAUGUGCCAGCCGCCGCCGUAAAAA
rnacentral:rRNA from 1 species